rnacentral:rRNA from 1 species
UACAGAGGUCUCAAGCGUUGUUCGGAUUCAUUGGGCGUAAAGGGUGCGUAGGUGGCGCCGUAAGUCGGGUGUGAAAUUUCGGAGCUUAACUCCGAAACUGCAUUCGAUACUGCGGUGCUUGAGGACUGGAGAGGAGACUGGAAUUCAUGGUGCAGCAGUGAAAUGCGUAGAGAUCAUGAGGAAGACCAGUGGCGAAGGCGGGUCUCUGGACAGUUCCUGACACUGAGACACGAAGGCCAGGGGAGCAAACGGG